UUGGGGGUGACCACAAAACGAGGAGCUGUGUUUAAUGUCACAGUUUCAGGAAGGCUGAGAACCAUUGCAGAUGCACAUGUUGCUCGUGGCUGCUGUAAUGCACAGCAAGUUCUGUAACUGUCAUAUCUAAGACUGUGAGUUUUAUGGAUUGCGGGGUGUCUGAUUAGAGCAUAUUGGUGUAUGACAAAUAUCCAGCUGUAUAUGUUCAAAAAACAAAGAAAUGGCAGAUUCGUUGGUAACAUAUAAUUAACUCAGCUUCUCUAUGUCCAGGAAUCUAACCUGUCAAGUAAAUUUUGAUGACUAUGGUCAGGGUAUCUUUCUGAUUCUGUUUUCUUUCCUCAAACUCAUAGUUCAACUCGGCAUACAGUAAAAACCUAUUGUUUCAUACCUGACACAGGGAUACCAGACAUCAAUGAACAUGGCUUCUAGCCCUAUGGAAUGCUAAGCGUUCUCAUCUCUAUCAUGGCACCAUCAGCUGUUCUGUUCUCACCUCGGUUCCACAUCAGGUUCCUGUUCUUCAACCUUCUGAAAGUACAAGGGUCUGGAGAUAGUGAAUGGACAGUAUCCACGCUUGGAACUUGAUGAUAUCCAUGACCAUAUCCCCCAGGUGUUGGCUUAACAACAGACUGAUUUCUUAGUUUUAAAAAAAAGUGAGUAUUUUUGUUAAUAAGAGACAGUUCCAGUCCAAGUUCAACUUAAGUGCAUGUUUAGUGAUUUGGGUUAAGUCCUUUCAUGUACCCAGUUUUUGAUUUUUUUUCCCUCUGGGGUUUAGAGAGCAGACUUGGUGGUUGGAAAUGCUUGCUGCUCUUAUAGAAGACCAGAGUUCAGUUUCCAGCACCAACAGGUCAACUCACAACUGCCUAUAACUCUAGCCCCAGGGUAUCAGAUACCUCUCCUCCUUUCUUCUUCCUUUGUCACUCCUCUCUCUCUCUCUUUCUCUCUCUCUCUCUCUCUCUCUCUCUCUCUCUCUCUCACACACACACACACACAUAGUUAAUACACAAUUAAAAAUAUUUUCUUUCACCCAACAGUCAUUUAACAAUACCUACCAGGAGCACUUGUGUAUAAGUAUAGGUGUUCAAUGUUGCCUUAUAAACAUACACCCAUUCUCUGCUCCAAAGGCCUUUUCAGACUAGCAGCGGGAGACACACAUUUGAAGCAACAAUUAUGACAUGGAAAGUCACUUGUUAUCACUCAGACACUAUGGGAGCCAAUGCACACGAACCCUUUCACUUCCUGGUUAGUUCCAGGUUUUCUAGGUUCAGGUUAGCUGGAUUCUGGCUUUAGAUUGCCUGGGGUCCAAGGAUUUUCUUACUUCUUUGUACUUAUGUGGCUGUGGAUAGAUGAAGAGACCAUCUGGCCUUCAAUUUCAUCACCUGAGAAAGGAACACAAUAAUUAUACCUUCUGUAUAAGGCUAUUACCAACAUCAAACAAGUUAAUAUGGUGGGAGCACCACAAUUAGUAAUAUUUAGCAGUAUUUACGUGCACUAUGUGAAUGUUAAUUAUGGCUAUCACUCCUUAUUUUCAAAUAAGUUCAGUAUGACAACAGAGUGAGAGCUCCACAGAUAACCCAUUGGGGGC
rnacentral:lncRNA from 1 species